GACGAACGCUGGCGGCGUGCUUAACACAUGCAAGUCGAACGGAAAGGCCUGCUUUCCCUUGUGGAUUGCGGGUACUCGAGUGGCGAACGGGUGAGUAACACGUGAGUGAUCUGCCCCCAACUUGGGUAUAAGCCUGGGAAACUGGGUCUAAUUCCCGAUAGGACUGCAGGGUGGUGCCUGUGGUGGAAAACGAUUUUCUAGUGGUUGGGGAUGAGCUCGCGGCCUAUCAGCUUGUUGGUGGGGUAAUGGCCUACCAAGGCGGCGACGGGUAGCCGGCCUGAGAGGGUGGACGGCCACAUUGGGACUGAGAUACGGCCCAGACUCCUACGGGAGGCAGCAGUGGGGAAUAUUGCACAAUGGGCGGAAGCCUGAUGCAGCGACGCCGCAUGGGGGAUGACGGCCUUCGGGUUGUAAACUCCUUUCGACCGCGAGGAAGCCACCUGGUUGGAAGGGUGGUGACGGUAGUGGUAGAAGAAGCACCGGCUAACUACGUG
rnacentral:rRNA from 1 species